AAGUGGUCUGUUUAGCCUGAAGUAGAGCUCAGAAAAGACAAUGGAUUUUCAGACUCAAAUUCUCAGCUUCCUGAUGCUCAGUGUCACAGUGUCCAAUGGACAAAUUGUGCUCACCCAGUCUCCAGAAUCCCUGGCUGCUUCCCCAGGGGACAGAGUCACCAUCACCUGCACAGCCAGCUCCAGUGUAAGCACUGACAGGUUGCACUGGUACCAAAAAAAGCCGGGAGCCUCUCCGAAACUCCUGGUUUAUAAGACAUCAAACCUGGCCUCGGGAGUCCCAGCUCGCUUCAGUGGAAGUGGAUCAGGGACCUCUUACUCUCUCACAAUCAGCAAUGUGGAGGCUGAAGAUGCUGCAACCUAUUACUGUCAACAGUGGCAAAGCUAUCCACACACACAGUGCUACAGACUGCAACAAAAACCCCUUCAGCUCCUCAGGGACCAGCUGCUUCUGCUCUCAGACAAUGAACUGUCAGGGGUUUUAGAUGUGACAGAAUCUCCCAAAUCUUGUCUAUUGGAGCCGAGAACAUUUGGCUUCCUACAAGAGGAAGGAAGAAGUACAGAUGGGAAAGAAAAAGUAAACAAGGAGUUUCCUUUCUGUGCCUGA